rnacentral:rRNA from 1 species
CAGCCGCCACGGUAAUACGGAGGGUGCAAGCGUUAAUCGGAAUUACUGGGCGUAAAGCGCACGCAGGCGGUCUGACAAGUCAGAUGUGAAAUCCCCGGGCUUAACCUGGGAACUGCAUUUGAAACUGUCAGGCUGGAGUCUUGUAGAGGGGGGUAGAAUUCCAGGUGUAGCGGUGAAAUGCGUAGAGAUCUGGAGGAAUACCGGUGGCGAAGGCGGCCCCCUGGACAAAGACUGACGCUCAGGUGCGAAAGCGUGGGGAGCAAACAGGAUUAGAUACCCGUGUAGUCCCUGUCUCUUAUAC